GGAACCAUAAAGGUUCACUGGUUACGGCGACAGAUUAGAAUUCUCCGGUAAAUUCAGGAUCUGUUCCUCUUUGAGGGCGCAGGUUCGAAUCCUGCUGGCGUCG